rnacentral:rRNA from 1 species
UAGAGUUUGAUCCUGGCUCAGGAUGAACGCUAGCGACAGGCUUAACACAUGCAAGUCGAGGGGCAGCGGGGCAGGAAGCUUGCUUUCUGCCGCCGGCGACCGGCGCACGGGUGAGUAACACGUAUGCAACCUGGCCGUGACAGAUGGAUAACCGGGAGAAAUCCCGCCUAAUACAGCAUGACGCCGGGAAGGGACAUCCCUUUCCGGCCAAAGGGGGCGACUCCGGUCACGGAUGGGCAUGCGGCGCAUUAGCUUGACGGCGGGGUAACGGCCCACCGUGGCGACGAUGCGUAGGGGUUCUGAGAGGAAGGUCCCCCACACUGGUACUGAGACACGGACCAGACUCCUACGGGAGGCAGCAGUGAGGAAUAUUGGUCAAUGGGAGAGAUCCUGAACCAGCCAAGCCGCGUGAGGGAAGACGGCCCUAUGGGUUGUAAACCUCUUUUGUCGGAGAACAAAACCCGGGACGUGUCCCGGACUGCGUGUAUCCGAAGAAAAAGCAUCGGCUAACUCCGUGCCAGCAGCCGCGGUAAUACGGAGGAUGCGAGCGUUAUCCGGAUUUAUUGGGUUUAAAGGGUGCGUAGGCGGUCCGUUAAGUCAGCGGUAAAAUUGCGGGGCUCAACCCCGUCGAGCCGUUGAAACUGGCGUGCUCGAGUUGGAGAGAAGUAUGCGGAAUUCGUGGUGUAGCGGUGAGAUGCAUAGAUAUCACGAAGAACCCCGAUUGCGAAGGCAGCAUACCGGCUCCACACUGACGCUGAGGCACGAAAGCGUGGGUAUCGAACAGGAUUAGAUACCCUGGUAGUCCACGCAGUAAACGAUGAAUGCUAGGUGUCCGGGGCUUUGUGUCCUGGGUGCCACAGCGAAAGCGUUAAU